rnacentral:lncRNA from 1 species
CCACAUAAAUCUAAUAAAAAUCACAUGACAAGAGUAGAAACUUAAUUGUUUAGAAGCAUUCAUCAUCUUAGAUUUACUUUUGGUGAUCGCUGGAGAUAAGGUAAGCUUUCAAGUUUGAUUAUUUUCAUGCAUCUAAUUUAGUUGUAUAGAACCUCUUGUUUGAAAUUUGUUGACAUAUUCAUCUCAAAUCAAUUUAAGAGCAACACCU